UGGGGAAUAUUGGACAAUGGGCGAAAGCCUGAUCCAGCCAUGCCGCGUGUGUGAAGAAGGUCUUCGGAUUGUAAAGCACUUUAAGCGAGGAGGAGGGUACUGGUAUUAAUACUACCAGGUACUGGACGUUACUCGCAGAAUAAGCACCGGCUAACUCUGUGCCAGCAGCCGCGGUAAUACAGAGGGUGCGAGCGUUAAUCGGAAUUACUGGGCGUAAAGCGCGCGUAGGUGGUUCGUUAAGUUGAAUGUGAAAGCCCCGGGCUCAACCUGGGAACUGCAUCCAAAACUGGCGAGCUAGAGUAGGGCAGAGGGUGGUGGAAUUUCCUGUGUAGCGGUGAAAUGCGUAGAUAUAGGAAGGAACACCAGUGGCGAAGGCGACCACCUGGGCUCAUACUGACACUGAGGUGCGAAAGCGUGGGGAGCAAACAGG
rnacentral:rRNA from 1 species